rnacentral:rRNA from 1 species
CCUUCCCUCCACUCGGGGAUACCCCGUUGAAAGACGGCCUAAUACCCGAUGUUGUCCACAUAUGGCAUCUGACGUGGACCAAAGAUUCAUCGGUGGAGGAUGGGGAUGCGUCUGAUUAGCUUGUUGGUGCGGGUAACGGCCCACCAAGGCGACGAUCAGUAGGGGUUCUGAGAGGAAGGUCCCCCACAUUGGAACUGAGACACGGUCCAAACUCCUACGGGAGGCAGCAGUGAGGAAUAUUGGUCAAUGGACGUAAGUCUGAACCAGCCAAGUAGCGUGCAGGAUUGACGGCCCUAUGGGUUGUAAACUGCCUUUGUUGGGGAGUAAAGUGAGGCACGUGUGCCUUUUUGCAUUUACCCUUCGAAUAAGGACCGGCUAAUUCCGUGCCAGCAGCCGCGGUAAUACGGAAGGUCCAGGCGUUAUCCGGAUUUAUUGGGUUUAAAGGGAGUGUAGGCGGUCUGUUAAGCGUGUUGUGAAAUUUAGGUGCUCAACAUCUACCUUGCAGCGCGAACUGGCGGACUUGAGUGCACGCAACGUAUGCGGAAUUCAUGGUGUAGCGGUGAAAUGCUUAGAUAUCA